AUGCAUGAUUCACUUGCAGAUGAAGAGUUCACCACCUUUGUAGUGACUCUUUGGACAGUGUGGGGAGUGCAAUGGAAAUAUCAAAGCCCAUUUGUUGUCCAUAGCUUUGUUCGACAUUACUUACGCGAGCUGCGAGCAAUCGAACCUAGGGUGACUCAUGUGCGUGUUUCAUCCCCGAAUAGGUCAACACAGUGGAUCGCGCCGCCUGCUGGGCCAGCAAAAUUAAAUGUUGACGCCGUUCUUGGGAGAGGAGUAUCAUAUGGAGCUGUGGGUGCCAUCUGGAGAGAUCAAGCCAGUAUGUUCCUUGGUGAGUCGGCAGUGGUUUUCCCAAAUAUUUCUGAGCCGGCGACUCUUGAAUCAUUGGCCAUCAGGGAGGCGUUGGCCUUAGCAGAUGAUUGUAUGAGAGGAGCAUUCAAGUGGCGUCAGAUUGCAAAGUGGUAA
rnacentral:rRNA from 1 species